GGAAGUAAACGUAACAAGGUUUCCGUAGGUGAACCUGCGGAAGGAUCAUUAAUGAGUUGUCAUGGGGUUCGAUGCUGGCAGCCAAUUUUUGGAUGCAUGUGCUUGCCCUAACAAUCAUCUUCCAAACACCUGUGCACAUUUUUGAGGGAGUCUUGAGUUGGUUGCCGCUCUUGGGUGAUUUUCUCACAUUCCCUUAAAUCAUUAUACGCUAUUAACAAUGUUGAACGUGCUCUGUGCCGCAAGGCUAUUAAUAUAAUACAACUUUUAACAACGGAUCUCUUGGCUCUC
rnacentral:misc_RNA from 1 species